GUGCGGGGAGAGGUGCUAGAGAUUGAACUCAGGACCGUGCACUUUCGAGGAUGGCACGGAGCCCCCGAGCUAAAACUCCGGCCCCAAGAUGAAUGCUUUUUAAAUCAGGCACCAAAGGACUUCAGGAAUGCAGAGCCACAACACAGAAAGUAUUCACGCCCCUGAUCAUCUGAAGAGGAGUCAUGUAGACCGACCAUCAAUAGUGCACUUUGCAUAUGUGAUAAAAAUCAUGUUUGCUGUGCUAAGCUACUGCUACAAAGAGACGAUUUCUUCAGUUUGCAUUGUUCGCCCUAUGCAGGAAUACAGUGAAAUUUCAUCAUCCCACCCUCCUUUUGAGAUGUAUAAUAAUUACUUGGUUCUUUCGGACG